rnacentral:snoRNA from 1 species
CCCCUCUCAGGGUCACACCUGGAGAGUUUCCAGUACUCUACCAGUCUCAACUGUGGGAGGGAAACUCAAGCAGAAGCAUAUCCAUUCCAUUCCUAGCUUGGGCAGUAGCUAGCAAGUGGAAGGCAAUCUGCUACAAAU